rnacentral:rRNA from 1 species
UACGGAGAGGGCUAGCGUUGUUCGGAAUUACUGGGCGUAAAGCGCGCGUAGGCGGCUUUGUAAGUUAGAGGUGAAAGCCCGGAGCUCAACUCCGGAAUUGCCUUUAAGACUGCAUCGCUAGAAUCAUGGAGAGGUGAGUGGAAUUCCGAGUGUAGAGGUGAAAUUCGUAGAUAUUCGGAAGAACACCAGUGGCGAAGGCGACUCACUGGACAUGUAUUGACGCUGAGGUGCGAAAGCGUGGGGAGCAAACAGG